GCUUACGGCCACACCACCCUGAACACGCCCGAUCUCGUCUGAUCUCGGAAGCUAAGCAGGGCCGGCCUGGUUAGUACUUGGAUGGGAGACCGCCUGGGAAUACCAGGUGCUGUAAGUU
rnacentral:rRNA from 1 species